UCCAUUAUGUGAAGAUUUAUAUAUGUAAAUGCAUGUUUGCAUAUAUUUUGUGUGUUUACAUGCGAGACCAAAUUUAACUCUAGCUGCGCUGCAAAUACAAAAAUAUGUAUUCUCAACUAACCGUACUACGCGAUUCUCAUGAAUUUAGGUUAGUCUUAUGAUAAGCCUAUGGGUCUUCACUUUGUGUUUAAUAUUUUAUGAGGAUAUUCCAUCAAAGGAGGCAGCAUCUUUGAUAUUGGAGGAGAAGCAGCUUGCACAAUGGGGAAGACGGAGACGGAGCUUGCACUAUGCUUCAACCAUGGCGAAUGCGUCAACUCAAGCAAAGGUAAGAGUUUCUUAAACACUUAAAAGAUUACUUUAAUAUAGGAGAAGACGGUGACUUGAGCAAAGGAGGAGGCGGAUGCAAUUAUGAAGGACGCACUGGCUAUAGUUUUGCCAGGAUCAUCGAAAAAACUGGUAAAUCGCAGUAAACCAGUUAAAUAGAAACAAGGUCGAUUUUGGACUGAGUUACGAAUUGUUCUGACUGAUCUCAUCGAGCAAGAACCAAAUGUAAGAUGAGACGGCAGCAAGAACAAUUCACAAACCAAUCUUUCGUGUUCACUUAACAAUAAGUAUGAAUACAGUGCAGCUUAGGACCGGCUUACAUAUUAUUAUCGCUAAUUUUUGGCUGGCUUUAAACAAAGACAUAAAGGGUAUCAAUUAUUCUGACUGAUCUCAUCUUGGCCAAUACACAGAGGAGCAACCGGACAGAACAAUUUUAACCAAGAACUAAUAAGAUUGAACUGCCUUAACCUAUAUAACCGCCUAAUACUCAUCGUGUUACAUACUAUUCUGGCUGAUGUCAUCUCCAUGCGAUCCCAGAGGAUCAUUAGCAAGAAUAAUAUGUACACCAAACAAUAUAUCCAAGGUACUUCAAAUACUUAGGUUUUCUUCUUGAACUUUCUCAGAUUUAAACUUUUCCGAUCGAGCAGCCGUUAGGUUAACCUUCAAUUGAAUUAAACAGAUAUCGUACGUAAUGCGAAAAGCGUAAAGUUUAUUAUUUAGAGG